rnacentral:sRNA from 1 species
AUCGGGAUAGUGACCGGUGAAAAUCGUUGGGCGACUGGGUGCGCA